AAUUGUGGUACAUGAGGCUAUAAAGUGAUCUGAGAGCCAAAAUAAUGGGCUUACAACCAUCAGAAAGCCCUUUCCCUCCUAACUUGGGCAGCCAAUAGCAUGCGUCCAGGAGAGUUAGUUUUUAUUCUUGUCCCAUUUUUCAUCUUUUCCUUUAGUUAUGACCUAUUGGACCUAACGGGAAAUAGAUUAUUUAAACCAGUUGAACUUUAAAUCAAAGCAACAGACACUUUGUAUCUGAGAGUUGUACUCUGUUUGCUCUGUUUGUAGCCCAUAGAGCUAAGCAGUUUUUCUACAUGGUGGUAGGGCUGCCACUGAGUGCCUUUUGGAACAUCUGCCCACAGGCUCUGCUUAGGUUGCUCUUCAGGAAGAAGGGAAGCAUGCCCACAAGAUCUUCGUCUCCAUUUUGUGGCACAGGAACCUAAAGUAACUAGGAGUUGCACUACUGAUUGUUGGAUUCUGAAGAUCUAUCUCUUAUCUGCAAUCCAAUGGCAACAUUUUCCAGUUCAGCUCUAUCUCUCUCUUGAGGUUAAAUUUGAAAAGCCAAAGGAAAUUCUCUUAAGCAAACUGUUUUAAGAUGCAAGGGCUUCUACAAAAGUAAUGCCUGCUAUUUUAUGAUGUUGGCUCACAGUGUCAGAGGCGGGCAUUGGUGGUAUUUCAGUAGGGAUUGAACCUUCCCAUCAAUAUUCUGUUUCAUUGCUGCACGACAAUGGCAGCGGAGCGGCUGUCUAACAAUGGUAUCUGACGUGGAAAUGCAUGUUAAGCAAAGGUGUGGAGCUGAAAAUUCCUCCAUGUGAAAAAGUUGCACCCAUUGACGUUUAAGCACAGUGGGGCAGUAGGUGGUACAUUUCAGCAGGGGCAACAGUAGGUCACCUCCACUGGAGCAUAUUUUUACAAGUAUGAAAUGAGGGCUGGAUGUCAAAAAUGCGUAGUUCAUGGUGGUUAUUAUAUUGAAAAAUAAUGUUUAGUGGCUGAAAAGUUACUAUAUCAAAUAGUGUUAUUGUGGUCUUUGUAUGUGUUAUAGUGUCCAUGGAAAUAAAUAAGAGAAAAACAAUAGAAGGCCUUUGUUCCAGUCAACAAAGUAUAGCAUGGUAGGGUUCUUCCAGUGUCCUACCACCUAAGUUUGAUUCCUGGGACCUGCCUGCAUGUGUACUAGUGUCAUAAUAUCUGUUGAGAUUGAUUUAACUCAAUGAAGCUGUUUGGAAAGGUGCCGUGAUGCGGUAGAUUCUUGCGUGGUUGCACCUGAGUUUGGGGAACAAGUGAAACUGAACUGGUGUUCUAAUAUCCUUUGUGUUUUGUUUUUCUUUUCUUUUUUUUUGCUAAGUGGUAAUGCAUGCCUAGUUUGAAGAAAUGCUCUUAAGAAAAGUUAAUUCUUCGUGAAUGAAAUAAUUUGCUUGAGAAGAGCAGUUGGAUGAGAAAUAGCAAUUCUUGCAGUGCCACAGUGCUGCACCACUAGACCAGCAGGUCACACUUUGGCAAACACAGAGCUCAUGCAUUUCUUUCAGUGAUAAUACUGUCAACUCCAAUUUACAGCAGUCUGUUUUAAUGCAUAGCUUACCAAUAAUUUGUAGUGAUCAGAAGAUCAAUAAGAUUUAGCAUUCGCAUUUAGAAUGAACAAGUAACUGUUGGGAGUCCUCCUGGGGGCUCCUUUCUCUUCUUUGGCUGCGACAGCUCUGAGUCCUCAAAGUUGAAUUGAUGUAAUUUUAAUUUUAGGAUGUAAGAAUCCAGACACUUGCUGUUUUUAAAUUGAGCAACUCAUGAAAGUAAAAUCAGGGUGCUGUGUCAGUGAUGGAAUUUUAUCUCCUUGUUUUUCAGCCUUACAGAUGCAAGCACACCCUGGCUAAUGGCCCUGACUGCUAGCAGCAGCAGCAGUUGUGUAACAGUCUUUCUCCAGGGCUUGCUUCCCCACAUGGUGUGACCUCUUUCCUAGCUUAUUGAGAUAAAAUCUCCUACAUUCUUGACCUGAUCUGAUGGAGGUGGCAACUGAGUGGCAUUUUUUAAAUCAGUAGUCUCCCCAUGAGUACAUCAUCUAGCACACAUUAUACCUUUAAAAAUGCAAUAAAUAAAUACCUUCACUUCCCUGAAAUCCAGCUAUGACUCCGGCAUAGAGGUGUUUCAUGCAGCCUGUUAAAUUUAAGGGAUUUUUUUCCCCUCUCCAAGUCUAAUUUUUAGGUAUACAGCACUCAACUUGUCUAAAAAUACUUUCUCAGAGCAGCAAGGCAUUGAGAGUAGCCUGCUAAGAGCUCCAGUGAGAAAAGUAUCACGUGAGAUUGUGGAGGAAGAAGAGUCAGUGACUGUUACUGUGUUACUUGGAGAAGAGCCCUUUAACAAUCAAACACAAGAAUAAUACAGAGGAAAACAUAUUUUAGCUCUCCUCAUCUCUAGAGUGUUUUUUCUUUUAAUGAGUAAACUUGAUGUCUGUUUCUCUUGCUGUUGUUAUCUGUUGAUCUACCGCUUCCAUCCUAGAAGGAUAUCAACAAGUUGAGAUCCAUGCUUGAUACAAAGCCAGUACUAAUUUAAAGGGAAAAAAAAUCAACGUAUUAGGGUUUCCCUAACAAGAAAUGCCAAUUAUCUGUAAUGCUUGUCACUAGUUGUAGUCUAUAGGACUAGUCUAGUCAGUGUAUAUGUAAUUCCUUUAGUAAAUUACAAAGACACUGUGGAUUUUGAACUAUUUGCAAAUAAAUAUUUAUGUUUAUCUUCUGUUCAGAUCAAGUGCGUGUAUGCAAAUGUACAGGUGUUUAAAAGAAAUGAUAUGUCAACUGUAGCUUGUGACACAUAAGAGUGAUACAAACAUGUUCUUAAGCUUUUGUAUUUCUGGGUAAUUAAAAAAGCCAAAAUAUAUUUUAAUCUAACGUUAGCAGGUUUCUAAGAUCUGUGCAUUUGUCAACAAUAUGGCAAAUGAUUCUUGCCCCUCAUACAUAAGAGUAGGUGCAGAACAGUUAGGGAGAACUUGGUGGAUUACUGCUGAAAUUUCAUUGUUUCCUCAACUAUAAUGAGUACAGACUCUGGGCUUAAAUGUUAUUAAUAUUACUGAACUGAGUCCUAUAGGCAUGAAUUAUUUCAGGUGGCAAUGCAAAUUUUCCCUAGCUGCUUAAAACCUGCUCAGAAAAAAACUAUUCAGAUUCCAUUCUUUCUGCUGGAGGAGGCAGGCACAUUAAUCCACUUUGCUUACUUUGCAGUUACUAAAAUUUAUUAUUUUGGAGAUGGUUUUUUUCAGAACCUUCGCCACAAAUUGCUAUAAGUGCACCUCUGGAGAAGCUCUUAUCAUUGUUUCAGAUGCAUAGGAAGUGAUAGGAAGGGUUAUUUGACUUGCAUGUUUCAUUUUUAAGAUUCAGGUAGCAGCCUGCUUCAUCAGAGGAGAAUUGGCUCAAUGUGGCCAGAAUACAUAGCUUGCUUAUUGAGAGCCCUCUGCGUUCAGUAUUUUCUGAGGCUUUUCCUGUGCCCGUCAUUUGUUGUACUGACUGUUUUCAAGUGCAUAACUACUCCCAGUAGCCUGUAAUUGCAAGGUCAGUCUAAGGUGAAACUGUGUCUUGUUUAGGGAAAGACAUGAACAAUCUGCUUAGGCCAUAUGUUGUUGCCUUGUCCUUUUCUUGAAACCUUUGGGUAGCUCAGCAUGUUACUUACAAUAAUUAGGAGCACCAAAAUCUUUCAGAGUGUGUGAUUGGGGACAGCUUAGCUUGAGUGUAAUUGGGAGCUUUGUGGGGUCUGUUCAAGCCAGAGUCUUAGAUGGUAUAGUAAGAAACUAAUUUGGAUCUGUUAUUUGAUUUUGAGGGUGAAUUCCAUCACAUUUCUGCAUUUUUCUUGAGCACUUUUAUUGCAGAGAAUGAAAACCAGCAGGUGUUUAUUUCUGUUUGUUUACAAAAGCAUCAUUUUUGUUUCAUGCCUGUGGUACUGGCUUCUCUACAUCAGCCAGAAGCUAGUGUGUCUGGAGGAAUUUAUUUCUUCUUUAAAAGCUGAGGUUUUUCUUUGACAGUAAUGCAAAAAGCAGGAAAGGGUUGAGCUAUGAAAGGAUGCUGCUUCGAAAGACAGCUUGCUUACGGCCUUCCAUUGAUGUUCAGUCUAGAUGUUCACUCUGUUAAUUUGGUUAGAAACACUUAGGGACAGAGAUCUAUUAUUUCCUCACUGGAAGGAAAAAAAAAAAAAGGCAAGCUAAAGCUUUGUUUUAAAAUGAUUAAGGUUGCUAAGUAACAGUUUUCCCUCAAUUGAGUGUCUUCCUCAACAACUAAUCUCAAAGUCUUAAAUGUGAGAAAUUAAAGAUGUGAUAGAUCAUACUAUGUCCACAUGAGAAAUAGACAUUUGGAAUUAAACCUUGGUCCCACUGCUGUCAAUGAAAAAAAAUUCCACUGCCUUCAAUGGCAUGAAUAUUUCUUUACUGGUUCUCAUCCAGUAUAGAAAAAUAUGUGGUAUAAUGUGCCUAUUUCACAAUUUUGCUUAUUUUUAAUGAACUAAUUAUUAGCAGAUCCAGGUUUUCGCUAAGUUCUCUUAUCAGUGAGUUCUUGCAUCUGAGUGAGCGAUUCUGGACCUUGGAAAGGGCAACCUUGUAUAUAUGACAAGAUGGGGAAUGAAAGGCUGGACAGCAGCCCCACAUAAAGGGAUCUGGGGAUUCUAGCUGGCAACAAGUUGAACGUAAGCCAGCAGUGUACCUUGACAUCCUGGAGCUGUGCUAGGAGAGAGGUAAGUGGGGGAUAGGAAAAGGUUCUGCGCCAGAGGGCAGUGGGUAUGGAAUGGGCUGCCCUGGGCAGUAUGCAUGGCCCUAAGUGCUGGAGUCCAAGGAACGUUUGGACAGUGCUCUCAGACACAGAGCUGGAUUUUCGGUGGUGAUGUGUGGAGCCAGGAGUUAGACUCUGUGAUUCUUGGGGGUCCAUCUUAACUUGGGAUGUCUUAUGUUUGUUUGAAGCAGAUGAAGAAAUGUUCAAAUAUGGGAAUGAAAUCAAAUGUUAGCAUAAAUUUAAGAAGGGAAUGUAUCGAGCUGUUAAUGAUGAUUGUUUCCAUCUGUGUGUACGUGCUGUUGUCCAGUUACUUGUGUUAGUUACACAGGUGUAACACAGAUUGCUUUUUUUUUUUUUUGUCUGUUUGUUUUGCAGUGUGUGCAAAAGUAGAGAGAAACAGACUUGAGUUUUAAGUUGAGGACUGGAACCACAUCCUUCUACUUCACAGCAGAAUGCUGUAUAGUAUAGCGCCUCUUGAUCAAGCCAAUAAAUAUCUCACAGUACAGAGAUGCCUCGUCUAAUCACAUCUGGGUUAUUACCAGAAAUGGAAGGGAAAUAAGUUCUGCACAUAGGUGAGUGAUCUUUGCUAUAGAUUUAUUAGCUCUAGUGAAGUACCGCUUGGACACUUCUGGCCCUAGGUUGAUUUACCUGUGUGAUAUUGUGCUGCUCAGAACAAAUAGAUGAUUAUGGCUACCUAUUUGCUCAAAUAGUCAUCCACUCUGAUCUGUGCACAUUGUAGACAUACUUACCAGUAUUUAUACUGGUGCGUUUUGUAGUUAUGCUGUGUGGCUUCCAUGUCUUUCUCAUUUGAAGAUCUCAAAGCUGUUGACAGUGUUCAGAGGUUGGUAAAUAAUUAGACUUGGCCUGGAGGUGUUGAAGACCAGGUUGGAUGGGACCCAUGGCAACCUGACCUAGUACUUGAUCUAGCAGUUAGCAACCCUGCCUUUGGCAGAGCGAUUGGAACUUUUGAUGGUCCUUGAGGUCCCUUCCAACCUAAGCCAUUCCAUGGUUCUAUGCCAUAGCAUGAAGUGUGAAUUUGUCAUAAAUACUUAAGAGGCCAGUUUCCCCAGUCUCUCAUCAUGGUUGAGUUUCUUUUCUGGUUUUCAAGUUUCAUUGUACGAAGUGUUGAUGCUGGCAUACAUAAGAUGAUUAUUUUUCAUCCUUGCCAUUCUCUAGAAAAUAUAGCAGAUGUGAUAUUUUAAGCACACAGUUUCCUAAACACUUUUUAUCUUAUACAUCUGGAUUGAAUACACUGAGAGCUUUUACUUUUGUGGUGAGCUUUUGUGCUUGGUCACCAUAUGUUGGCCACCAUAUGUUUUCCACCAUCUCCUUGCUGCACCAUCCUCCUUAUGGCACUUAGCUUCUUUGCGGUCAUGUCUGAAUUGCUCUGAACUUUUGUCUCACACUGUAGUCUUGCCAGUGUGCCAGUGGCUUGUGCCACUGGAUGAGGAGUUUGGGCAGAACUGACAUUACAGCUGAAGAGCUCCAGGCAUUCAAGUGAGAGAAUCUAUCCUUUCCCUCUGCCCUGCCUCCCUCUCCUCCAGAGGACAGGAAACAAAACAAAACAAAAAAAACAACAAAAGAAAGAGGCAUACUAGUAAGCAUACUAUCCUGUGUCAACAGUUUCAAGAAAAUUGGAAGCUUAUUGUAUUGGGUUUUUGUAGUAAGGUUUUGGUACUGAGUACCAGGAGACUUUAAUGGGUGAGCAGAGACCAAUACUGACUGUCCCAUCCCAUCCCUGAAGGGGAUCUGCUGCUACUAGAGCUGAGCUGUGAGCAAUGCUGGAUAUGCUAUGAGAGCAGUUCUGAGGAAGGGAAAAAUUGCUGCACAACGGCAGCUGGGAAGGAGGGCAUAUGGUGAGAAACAUCCCUGCAGCCAUGAAGGUCAGUGCAGGAGUAGGGCAGGAGGUUCUCCAGAUGUGGAGCAGAAGCUCCCUGCAGCUUAGCAGAGGCCCGUGGAGGAGCAGGCUCUCCUGCAGCUCGCAGCCACCAUGCAGAGUAGAUUUCCAUGUGCAGCCAUGGAGGAACCUGCAGUGCAGCGGUGGAUGAUGCCUGAAGGAGGUCCAGCCCAUGGAGAGUCGCCGCAGGUAAAAAAAAGUACAUUAAUCUCCCUGUGCUUAAUGUGUUUUGUCCAUGACAGUAAUUGGUGAACAAUCUUCCUGUCCUUAAUCCUCCAGCCCAUUUCUGUUUUAUGUUCUCCUGUUCUUUGAGGAGGGGGAGUGAGAGAGCGGUGUGGAGUCUAGUUACCUGUCACAGUAAAACCACCACACUCAUGCAACUGCGUUGUUAAGCAGAAACGGUUGAGUUACAUUAAUCUCCCUUCAGAUUUAAGUCACUGAAUGUUGUUUUGUCUUUAUCUGUCUAAAACUAAAUUCCUCACAGAAUGCUCAUUUUUAAAACAACAGCAAAAAAACCUACAUACCUGUAAAUCCAGAUCCUCUCUCUGUCUUCUGCUCAGUAAGACCAUUGAUAAAAUACUGUCCUGUGAGUGCAACUUUCGUUGAUUCUUCACAGAGAUAUUUUUGGCGUUUUAGGAUCUAUUAAGAAUAUUUGUCGUGUGAUCAUUUAGCCAAGUGAUUCAGACUAUUUGUGGCAGUAACCAGCUCCCUCGUUUCUCAGUGUUCCAUGAAUCUCUCGAUUGAAACGCUUAGGUACUGAAGAUUUUCCAUUCUCAACCAUCAGGAAUAUCUCCAGAUAAUCAGUUAAAAAUAUUGACGAGAUUUAGACCAAAAAUGAUCUUUGAAGUACCUCAACAAUUAGCUGCUCAGUUCAUUAACGCUUUCCUAAUCAUUUCAUCUUUUUAAAUUGUAAGGUUACAAAAUCCAAGUUCUCCAUCAACAAAAGCUUUUUUUUUUUUUUUUAACAUCUAAACAUCAUAUACUCUCAAUACCAUUAAUAGUUUGUAUUACAAGACCCAUUUACAUGAAACUUGUUGGCAAAAAUUGUUUUAUUCCUUAGCAUCUGUCUCUUUGCUGAUGGUGUGUGUUGUUGUCCAGUGUAUUUAGGUAUUUUAGGAGCCAUAUCAGGUUACUCAGACACUGGAUUCUUAUUUUUUACAUAGAUGUACUUUUAGAAACUCUCAACUAUGGAUCCAAAUUUACAUUUCCGUAAUCAGCUAGAAAUUAUCUAUGUUUUGCUGUCAGGAUCUUAUUUCAUUAUCCAUUUGGGGACAGCUAGUAAUUGCUACCAGUUUUCACUAAUACUUCUCUAAUUUAAUUCUAAAACAUGGUUGUGAUAGUUGCGUAAACUUUUCAGAAACUGGCACUUUGAAAAGUUCUUGUUAUAUUUAAUGUUGUUCAUUGCACCAUAUAUUGUGCAAACAAAGUAGAUGAAAUGCAAUAUCUCUUUUCAAGGUAUCCAUUUCAGUUUAAAGUUAGUGAUUAAUUCUUCUUUGGUCUUUAAGGUCAUUAUCAAGUCACAUCUCUGUUGAUUGCUGUGCAUGCUCAGUAAUCAGUUAUUGUGUACUUUUAAAAGCUAUAGUUUUUAAAAGCUAUAAAUGUUUAACAUUUUCUAGAUUGUUGAAGUAAAUUUGUUGAACCUGUUACACUUUGCUGACAUCCAUUAAUUGAAAAUUUUGCCUACUUGCUAUUUUUGCAAGUGUAUGUCCUGCAGUUAUCCUGUCUUGGAAUUUGUGAAUCAGACUUCACACGUUCUGAUUUAUCUGCUGAAAAGAUAAUACAGGCCCUGAGAUAAACUUGUUUCAGUAUUCUAGUAUUAUGAUCCAUUCCAUUGGGCUUCAGUAAUAUUUCUCAUACUUUAUCUUUAUUCUCUAUGUGAAAUAACUAUAGUUCUUCUAGCCAUGUGCUUUCAGAGGUUUGCUAUGAUUGUAUUUAUGUUGAGAGUGGCUUACAUAAUAGUAUUUGAACCAUUAUUUCUCUCUUGAAUGAAAAACCUUCUUCAUUACCUGACCAUGUUUAUUCUUGCAAAGAAAGAAUGUUUUACAAAGACAGGGACAACUGAAGCAUGAUAGAGGUUCCAGAAGAGACUUCCCAUUACUUAACCAAUCAAAAUGUACCGUUUGGUAUCAACAUUUUAGCUCACUAAUGUAGCCUGCCUUACAGAUUUAGCUCAUUACUUCUUUUUGAGGGAAAAGAGGCAUGUAUGAUACGACUUUCCAAAUAUUCAUUUUCAAUAACUGGAAAUUCUUCCCAGAUUAGUCAAUUGCAGGUUGGUAGGUCAUCCAAAGUACCAACAACUGAGGCUUACUGACAGGUAAAUGGCUCUUUCUCACCUUUUCUGUUCUACUUUUGGAAGGUAGAAAAAGUGUCUUGCUCGUCAGCACAGAUACUCAGUGAACAUGAUCUUGACAUGAAUGCUUCAAUAACUUAGUCUCACACCUGCAGUUUGGACUGGCCUCUAGUUCACUUCUUUCUCUUCAGGUGUCUCUUUCAGCACGUUAUUUCUUACGUCCAUCUCUGGUGACAUACUUUAAGUCUUCAUUUAUGGUGUAUUAAUGAUGGCUUGCAAACUGGCAUUGCAAUUGUGUACAUGAACAAAAUAUAUCUUUGAAAUUCAUCUUAAAUUUUCUGCAAACUACUCUUGUAAUAUGUUGUCACCAACAAUACAAACAUUAGAACGCUUUGACCUGUUUCAAAACUGUGGAAGUAGGAAAUGCUUGUGUUGUUUUUCCAAACAAAUUUCUUAUAAAUGAAUGAUUUGUCUAUAGAAGCAAAUCUUCCCUUGAUUCUGUGUGAUUUCAAGCAUUACUCUGUGAAUAUGUAAUUUUGUAAAAUAGACAAGAAAUGAACUAGUUUACAAGAAAUAAAUUACCUAUCAGAUAUCAGCUAUAUUGUGUUUUAUUACUUAGAUAAUGGCAAGUCUAAGGAACCUGGUGAAUUUAAAAGAAAUUGAUUAGUAUUCUCAAUAGGGCCUUCCCCAUUAUUUACUCGGAUUUGUGCUUUCUUUAAAAAUCCACUUUUUUAUGUAUUGAACAUAGCCAAAAAGUUCAUUGUUCUUAUUAGAAAAGAACUUAUACAACAUGUAACUCUUUUAUUGUGAUAUAUUUAUUUGUGAUCUACUGUAGUAAUUUACAAAUAUGCUUAUGAGAACCUGCUCUCGUGGGCAUAAAACUGUCUAGACAGAAAAUUCUGGUUAUGUGAGAAAGGAACUUUCUUCCAUUUAAUUUAAAUGCGAUGUUGAAGUGAAACAUUAGUACAAAGAGAUUUAAAGAUAUCGUAUGUUGGAGAUUGAGUUAUUGUGGUAUUAUGUUAAUAAUAAACCGUUUUCAUAGGUCAUCAAGCUUAUAAUGAAAAGGAUUGAUUAAUUUAGGGAACCUAUACAGAAAAUUAAAGCUUUCUAAAGUAUUCAUGACACAGACCCCAGCAAAUAACAAGUGCCUUAUUAAGAAGUUCUGUUGCUAGGAGACGGUAACCACAGUGCUGGAAUAACAUGUUUUUAUUUCAUAUAAGAAAUGCAGUUUAAUGCAGAUCGUUAGGUAAUGAGCAAGUAUGGCUAUGUGAUAUAAGGAUUUGGGCGAAUGUUUAAUUUGUGAGUUGGAAAGCCAUGAAAAUUGAAAGUCUUUAAAGUAUACCUCAGUGUCGUGUGCCACAGGAACAGACUGGCGGCGAAGAUCUGUUUGAAGUUUCACUGAAAGUAGGUAGGCAGCCUGCUGCAAAGUACUCAGGUGGAGUAAUUACAGUACAUAAAUCAAAUAGGAAUAAAUAAAGACAAUAAAUGGCUUUAAAAGAUGAGAUGUUCAUACAGCUGUUUAAUCUUGCUGAUACAGAAUCAAGUUAAGCAAUGGGAAGAACGAUGUGAUUCAUAAUGCCGUGUAAUAAGCUGUCUAAAAACAGAGUCUGUGAAAGCACAAGUGAGACAGGAAGGCUUGGUGUCACCAGCAAAAAUAUGGUAAUACAUUAUAGGAGAUGCUGAGAAUGACCACAUCUAACAAAAUAUCAAAAUAGCAGAUUGUUUGUAGAAACAAAAUCAUAAAUAAUAUCCAGCAGUUCAUUUAACUAUGGAAAUUGUGCUAAAAGAGUUCAGAUAUAUCAUCUGAAGGAAUUUGACCCAGAAAACAUGUUCCACCCCACUAAUGUAUAGUACUAAAGCACGGCAGAGGGGCUUUCUUUUUGAACUCUGCCAAGUCUGCAUCCUAAAACACUCCAUGCUCUGAUUGUGUGCAUGUUCUCUAUAUGACCCAGCUUGCCCUGACUUGUUAGCUUUUGGGGUUCCUUAAAGCUGUGCUGAUAGCUCUUAGCUGGGCUGUGGAGAGAUUCAGGCUUAUGCCUUUAAUUCUGGUACAGCUGGUGAGUAUGCAGGCUUUGGUAUAUGAGUUGUUCAUAAAGGAGGAGAUAAUUUUAUAAUAGCAGCGUCUAGUCACUCUGCCUUCAUUUCUACAUCUUUUCAAUGAAAGCAGCCCACAAGCUGGAUGUAGGCCCUGCUGCUGAUUCAUGCACAUGUCCCUUUCACAUUGAUUAAAACAGAAGAUUCAUUUUAUAACAUGAAUAUAUGCCCUUGCUGAAAUCAUUACUUUAAUCAUUUAAUUGUUGUUGACUUUAUGUUGUCUCCAAACUUAGCAGAACUGAUGCAGUGGUACUCCCUCCCCUUACAAAUAAGAGCAUAAGGGUGAAUAGCAUAAAAAUAAUUCUAAGUUUUGAAUGCAGGUAAAUAUUUUAUGCCCUUCCCUCCACCACCGUUUACUUUGGACAUCUUUCUGGAAAGUGCUGUUGUGAAUGGCUCUGCUGGCAGAAUUUUUCAUGACACUCCCUUGCAAAUCUCCACGUUUUCUGCUUCCACGCUCAAGUUGCCACAACAGGCUCUCCAUUUGCAGGCUGUUUGCAUGGGCCCAUCACACACAGAUUCUCACAAGAAAUAAAGUGGGAAGAUUUGUUCUAUCCAGGAAACAUGGUUACUGCCCCUUCACUGGUAUUCUUGCUGACUGAACUCAGGAUCACAAGGUUUGGAAAUACCAUUUAAUAUCUAGGACAGGAAUGACGUGGAGAUCAUUUAACAUGUAGGUAGGACUUUCAAUCAGGAUUAAGACUAUGCUGUGCCAAAAGAGCAGCUAUGAUUGGCAAACAGUUCAAUUCAGGUUCAGAAAAUAAAAUCUUUGAGGAAUUAAACUACAUUUUUGUUUCACUAAAGUUUAUUUUAUUUUUAAUUUGUAUGUUUUUGGUGCUUCUCAUUAAAAACCUGUAUUCAUAACUGAGAUCUGAGAAUGGAAAAAGCAGAAUUUAUUUAUUUAUUAUUAUAACUUCAAGAUGGAUUUUAAAUUGUGUAAUCAGAGUUGCUUCACUUAGAUGCGCAGCUAUGAAAAGAAAAAAAAACCUCAAGUGUCCUAAAGAAGUUGUUGUAUGUUUCUUUUUUUCUGCUGAGGUCAAGUUCAUUAUUGUAACUUUGUGUUUUUCAUAGUGCCACUGCCAGAUGACAUUAAAAUUACUAAUACAGAAGUAGAUUAAAAGAACAUGAUUAAGAUUGCAAAGUCAGGAAAAAUCAUAAUUAAGGUUGCCUGUGCAAUUUUAACUCAGUUCCUGUGUGGAUAUCCAUCCUGAUAAGAGUGUUUAAUUACGUAGCCAUGGUCUUUAUUAUUAUUAUUUUUUUUCCUCAGGACUCUUCCCAAUCACUGAGCACCAUCUUACUGACUCCUCUUAAAACGGAGCCUUUUGCAGUUCAGUGAGAAUGAAUAUGAAGCUCUGUGAUCUUGGUGGACCAGUGUGUCUGAUCGUGUUUCUUCUUGUAUCACAGCUACCUUUUGAAGAAGAAGAAAUGAAAAAGCACAAAAACAAAAUGGUUUUCAGGCUGUGGAACUACUAAAAUAUCUGAAUCAAUGAAUUAUCAAUAAAAAAAUCUUUCAGAAAUGAUAUUGUAGAAGAAACUACUACUGAAGAACAGUGACAUUUCCACUCAAGAUUUUCUAGUCCUGGCGUAACGUGGUACUGAUCAUUAGCAUGACUGUAUCAUUUCUGUAUCAUGGUGAUUUGUGUCUGGACAAGAAGGUGCAUGUAUAAAGAUUGCUUCUACAAGUCUGUACCUGUAUGCAGAGCUGAACCCCAAAUAUCAUAAUCUGACAAAGAGUAAGCUGUUAUUAUAGUAAAAGUUAUAUAGGAGGUCUUAAAAUAAGCUUUCUCCCUGCUAACUGACAGGAGAGGCUGAUUGGCUUUAACAUAGUACACCAAAGGGUAUUCCUGAAUUAGUUUCACCUUUAUUUCGGAGAAACCAGAAGGAUAAUCAUUUAAUAAUUUCAUGUAAGUGUUGUCACGAUCAAGAGAAGAACGUGAUUCAUUUAAAUCUGGAAGAGAAUCUAAGUGACUGCUUUGCAUCAGUAAACUUCAGAGUGCUCUGUAAUUCGUCAUGCUCGACAGCAAGAAAACCAAGUUGAAGGAAGUGCAUGUAUAAUGCUGUUAGAACAGUUUUGAAAUUGCUGAACUUUACACUUCAGUUCACUGACUGGUGUGACAUUAAGAACACAAGAAAGGUCAGUUAAAUGGCAACAUCAAAAAGUUUCUUAAAUUACAAGAUGGCUCUUGCCCGUGUCCAGGCUGCUGGUGAAUCCUUAGCUAACUGUCAUGGCAUACCAGUAGACAAACACUCUAGAUGUAAAAAUAUGUACUUUCAGUGUUCAAAUUAUUUGCAGUGGGGGAGCAACAUUCCCAAACUUCCACUGUGAUCAAACAGAAAGCAGAUUUUGAGAAGGUAUUACUUAACUUUUUUUUUUUAAAGUUCUGAAAGAUGAAGGCUUUGAUUUCUGUAAAGCAGUUUAUGCUACUACUUAAAUUUGACCUCUAACUUAAUGCUAUUAUAAGCAGGAAUAUAACUAAUAUUUCUUUCUGGCAGUAGGGCCAGCGGGUCAGUAGUUGCUCAGGACAGGAAAACACUAUAUGUAUACCAAGUAGGAGCUCCACAUUUUCGGAUCCUGUUUGUACCAAGCUGGAUUAAAGUUUGUUACAUAAGGGGGCUGUAAUCAGCAACUUGAAAGUGCAAAAAUAAAAGACUGUUCAACUUA